rnacentral:rRNA from 1 species
GGGAAUAUGCCUUUUGGUACGGAACAACUUUUGGAAACGAAAGCUAAUACCGUAUGGUCCCUUCGGGGUAAAGAUUUAUCGCCAAAAGAUUAGCCCGCACUAGAUUAGCUAGUUGGUGAGGUAACGGCUCACCAAGGCGACGAUCUAUAGCUGUUCUGAGAGGAAGAUCAGCCACACUGGGACUGAGACACGGCCCAGACUCCUACGGGAGGCAGCAGUUAGGAAUAUUGGACAAUGGGCGCAAGCCUGAUCCAGCCAUGCCGCGUGAACGAUGAAGGCCUUCGGGUUGUAAAGUUCUUUAGCCGAUGAUUAUAAUGACUGUAGUCGGAAAAUAAGCCCCGGCUAACUUCGUGCCAGCAGCCGCGGUAAUACGAAGGGGGCGAGCGUUAUUCGGAAUCACUGGGCGUAAAGCGUGCGUAGGCGGUCUUGUAAGUUAGGAGUGAAAGCCCAGGGCUUAACCUUGGAAUUGCUCUUAAAACUGCAAGGCUAGAAUCUCGGAGAGGAUAGCGGAAUUUCCAGU